UUUAUGUUACUAUCUGGUCUGACACCAUCAUUUCUACCAUCUCCUCACCCCUGUAGGCGUUUGAGUUUGCAAUUCUCUUCCCUGGGCUUAAUAUUUUUUUUAUCUUUAUGACAAAUAUCACAAAAGACCUUGUUUUUAAUGCAGAUAUAGACAUACCUCACUACUGCAUCACACUGCUUUGAAGACACUGUCUUUUUUACAGAUUGAAGCUGUGUGGCAGCCCUGCGUUGUUAGACGGUGGUUAGCAACUGUAGCAAUACUUUUAAAUUAAGGUGCACACAUUGUCUUUUUAGACAUAAUGCUGUUGCAUAGUUAAUAGAAUACAGCAUUGUAUACAUAACUUUAUAUGCACUGGGAAACCACAAAUGCUUGUGUGACUCACUUUUUCGAGAUAUUCAAUUUAUUGCAUUGUUUGUGAUAUUUGUUUAUUCCUCUGAACCAAACCCAUGAUAUCUCUGAGGUAAACCUAUAAUUCAACAGUAACACACUCCUCAAGAGAGGCUGUAUAUUUAACUCUGUAUUCUUGGGAAAGUCAUUUAACUUCUCUAGUUCUUAUUUUCUUGUUCUCUCAAGUGAGAAAGUUUGGCUGGAUAAGCGAUGCUCAAAUUUUACGCUGCAAAAACCUCACCCAAAUAAUUUGUUAAAAAUGUAUAUUCCUGGGACUGAAAAUUAAAGUUUUAAGUUAUAUAUUUCUCAGCAUGAACAUAUGACAUUAUUUGAGCAUGUCCGCCAGGUAGUUUUUGUUGAGAUGGUAUAAGGACCAUACUUUGAGAGAUAACACUCUAGAUUAUUUGUUUUUUAAAGAUGACUCCAUCAUGUUCCAUCUAACCUGUUCUCUUUAUGAUGUGCUGUUGGUGUACCUCCCACCGAGAGAGGAAUUCAUAACCUCCCCUGGAAUCCAGUCGAUUUACAGUGCUGUGUUAGUUUCUGCUAUACAACAGAGUGAAUCAGUGGUGAGGUUUAUGGCAAGACAGCCCCCGUCCGUCCGGCUGGCCUCACAGCGGGCCUCUGCUUCUGUGCUGACCGAGACGAGCCGCUCAGCGGGCGUGCAGGUCCUUUUUGGAGGAGACCACUCAUACAAGGUCAAAAGUAGUAGCAAUGAAAAAACCAACUAAUCCCAAGUUGCCAGUGUGGGAAUAAGAGUGCCAAGGACAGCCUUCACCGACUGCCGACGGGAACACCAAGCUUGACUCACAGUUGCAGCCCACCCAGGGUUCAGAGCUGAACCAGGUUAUCGUCUUCAGCAGAGGAAUUGAGGGGUCAGCGGUGUCCACAGUCACCUUCAGAGUCUGCCUCGUCUGCAGCCUGCCGCCUAAGAUUUCUCAAACAGACACUGCUGCUCGAUUUUUCUUUCUCUGGGUAAAAUGCAAAUACCCUUGGAAGCAAAUAAUGUUCUAAGGAAUUUGAGUAGCUUUUAUUGAGUGUGAAUGUGCUUGAGAUGACUUUUGAUAGAAUAGAGAAGAUAUUGACAGACAUAAAUAUAUUUGGGAGUUAGGAAUUAAGGAAACAAGAUAAAGAGUGGUAGAAAAUGCCAGGACGUUGAGGAAGUAAGAGGACACACAGUCCAUGUCAUGAUUUUUCCAACAUUUGCCUCUGUUUUCUAAAACUGAUUCUGAUUCUUGGUUCAAUAUGUAGCAUGGAAAUCACCAAGUAUUUAUUCUCUGCCUUCAUUAAAAUUAGAUAUUUUUCUUAAAAGUCUUUACUCCCAAAGAAGAGCUUUCUAGAUCAACCUAAGUCCAUUGACACCCUAUGUGUGUGUGGGCUAAGUUGCUCAGUCGUGUCUGACUCUUUGUGACCCUAAGGACGAGAGCCCAUCGGGCUCCUGUGUCCAUGCGACUCUUUACGAAGCAAUACUGGGGUGGGCUGCCAUUUCCUCCUCCAAGAUUGACGCCUUGUGGGCUAGGAUUUAGUCUGCACCACUUUUCAUUCCCAGGGAACACAGGGCUCAGUAAUGCUUGGUGGAAUGAAUGCGCAGACCUCAACCAACUGCCGUUUGCCCACAGGUUUCACUGCUACUUCCCUGUAUCCACAUUUCCUAGAGUUUUCUCCCAUUGCGUGUCAAUUGCCAGGGCAGACUCUUCUUACUUGAACUCACUUUGGGGUGGCAGCCUCCCCUCCCAAUGUGAAUGAGGGCGUGAUCCACAGUGCUUACAGACUGAUUUCUGGCAGCUAUUCAGGGGUAUUCCAUCAAAGAAAAACCACUCUAUGGCUAAGAGGAGUCCUAUCUAGUGCUUGCUAUUUUGCACCCCCAACUUAUAAAAUUUAACUAGCUUUAAUUUAUGAGUAAAUAAUUGUCUGAUGCUUAUGAAUAUUUCAUGCAGAAGUCCCUUUUCAUGUCUUACCAAAUAUUGAGUUUUUGUACUUUAACAUGAAGUUUUCCUGAGAUUCAGCUUGUGAAUGUAAAUCUGGAAUUGAUGUGAGCUGUGAGAAGAAGCCAAGGAAAAUAAGCUGUCAUCUUGCAAAAAAAAUCCUUCAAUGAUUUAUGUGUUUGGAUUCGACUUUGGGUUAUCAUUACUAAAAUAUUUGAGCUACGAGAUAGCUGAGCUGUAGUCUUUAUCAGAGACCUUUAAAUUAUUAACCAGACUUCUAGCUAAUUUGCCAAAUCAUGAAAUAUUAUCUGGGAAAAGUGGGCAAAGGUGGUGGAGGGAUCUUUGAAUCAUGAAAUCAUGUUUUAAUAAAAGGCGA